AACGAAGCUGGCGGCAUGCUUAACACAUGCAAGUCGAACGCGUGGUCUCGGUUCGCCGGGGCCAUGAGUGGCGCACGGGUGAGUAGCGCGUGGGAACCUGCCCUCUUGUGGGGGAUAACCGAGGGAAACCUCGGCUAAUACCGCAUAAGCCGGAGAAAUCCGGGAAAGAUUUAUCGCGAGAGGAGGGGCCCGCGUCGGAUUAGCUUGUUGGUGGGGUAACGGCCUACCAAGGCGAUGAUCCGAGCUGGUCUGAGAGGAUGAUCAGCCACACUGGGACUGAGACACGGCCCAGACUCCUACGGGAGGCAGCAGUGGGGAAUAUUGGACAAUGGGCGCAAGCCUGAUCCAGCAAUGCCGCGUGAGUGAGGAAGGCCUUAGGGUUGUAAAGCUCUUUCACCCGCGACAAUGAUGACGGUAGCGGGAGAAGAAGCCCCGGCUAACUUCGUGCCAGCCGCCGCGGUAAU
rnacentral:rRNA from 1 species